UGGGGAAUUUUGGACAAUGGGCGCAAGCCUGAUCCAGCCAUGCCGCGUGCAGGAUGAAGGCCCUCGGGUUGUAAACUGCUUUUGUACGGAACGAAAAGCCUCUUUCUAAUAAAGAGGGGUGAUGCCGGUACCGUAAGAAUAAGCACCGGCUAACUACGUGCCAGCAGCCGCGGUAAUACGGAGGGUGCGAGCGUUACUCGGCAUUACUGGGCGUAAAGCGUGCGCAGGCGGGCUUGCAAGACAGUGGUGAAAUCCCCGGGCUCAACCUGGGAACUGCCAUUGGUACUGCAAAGCUUGAGUGCGGCAGAGGGGGAUAGAAUGCCGCGUGUAGCAGUUAAAUGCGUAGAUAUGCGGAGGAACACCGAUGGCGAAGGCAGUCCCCUGGGCCUGUACUGACGCUCAUGCACGAAAGCGUGGGGAGCAAA
rnacentral:rRNA from 1 species